AAUCAUCAGUAAAUUCCUUCUAAUCCUAAUCUUAAUCAAUUCAUAUAAAUUUGCAAAUUUACUGUGUCAGUUUCACAUGUUUUAGACAUCGGCCUGUGAAAAAGAGGGUCCCAGGUUCAACCCUUGAUUCUCGCACCAGGUGUGUCUUUGAGCAAGACACUUGGCUGCACUGUGGCUGCCCACUGCUCCCUCAGAGACCGACCCAGUACGGGAUCAAUGAGGUUCAAUUAAUAUUAUCUCUCAUUGUGUAGAAUAGAACCAACAUGAAACCAGGGGGCUCUUGCACAAAAGUAGGAUUAAAAAAGCCGGCAUAAAAGAGGCCUCUUCAUACAAGGCACAUUAUUACCAUACUGCACAUGGAAAAUAGGACAAUUCACACCUCCUGUGGACUGUGCGACUUUUCCUUGAAGCAUGUGGUAACAGUUUUACUCCUGGAGCCACCGGACCAUGAUCCCCAGUGAGCUGCUAAUACAGGUUCUACUGAAUAUGACAUGACAGUGCAGGCUGAGAUGCAAACUAAAAACAUAGCAAGUACUGCCUCAAUUAAAUGUACAAUUAUGCACAAAUCCAGCUUCACUAAUUAAUGUUUUACAUAAUUCACAAACAGUCAGAUGUCUCUACACCACACAUCUGAAGAGACAAAUACAGCUGACUGAACUGCAGAUCAGGGAGAAGAAGAGAAAAGCUGGAAGAAAUGGACCUCGAUGUGCAGAUAAAGCGCUGAGGAAACUGGAUUUUAAAAUCCAGACAUUAGAAUGAGACCUCCAAGCUGAAAAGUGACCACAAUGCAAUAAAUGAAUGAAACCUGAAA